UACGUUCCCGGGCCUUGUACACACCGCCCGUCACGUCACGAAAGUCGGUAACACCCGAAGCCGGUGGCCCAACCCUUGUGGAGGGAGCCGUCGAAGGUGGGACUGGCGAUUGGGACG
rnacentral:rRNA from 1 species